rnacentral:rRNA from 1 species
UAAAACAUAGCGUUAAUGCAAUGGAUCCCAUUAGAACUCUGUAGUUAAGAGCGAUCAAGAUAGAGUAGUACUGGGAUGGGUGAUUUCCUGGGAAGUCUUAGUGUUUUAC